rnacentral:rRNA from 1 species
CCUACGGGGGGCAGCAGUGGGGAAUCUUGCGCAAUGCGCGAAAGCGUGACGCAGCAACGCCGCGUGGGGGAAGACGGCCUUCGGGUUGUAAACCCCUUUCAGGAGGGACGCGGUACCUCCAGAAGAAGCUCCGGCUAACUACGUGCCAGCAGCCGCGGUAAUACGUAGGGAGCAAGCGUUGUCCGGAAUCAUUGGGCGUAAAGCGCGCGUAGGUGGCCAUGUAAGUCCGCUGUGAAAGUCAAAGGCUCAACCUUGGAAAGCCGGUGGAUACUGCAUGGCUAGAGUACGGAAGAGGCGAGUGGAAUUCCUGGUGUAGCGGUGGAAUGCGCAGAUAUCAGGAGGAACACCAAUAGCGAAGGCAGCUCGCUGGCGUUACUGACACUGAGGCGCGAAAGCGUGGGGAGCGAACAGGAUUAGAUACCCGUGUAGUC